GUCCCUUUCGUCCAGUGGUCAGGACAUCGUCUUUUCAUGUCAAAGACAUGGGUUCAUUUCCCGUAAGGAAUA
rfam:Solanum tuberosum cultivar DM 1-3 516 R44 scf00005_70, whole genome shotgun sequence.